GUCAUCCACCUCCCAGGAAGAUCCUUAAGAGGCUCUGUUGCUAAUGUUUACCAACUGCUUUAAUAACUUAGGAUUAACAAGGGCAGAUCUGAAAGAAGAAGCUGGGCUGGAACUUGGAAGGCUGUCAGAAAUCCAGCCUGGCAAGUCUAAUGGUUUGUUUUCAACCUUUAUUUAACCACUUUCUGCUAUCAAGAAAACUAAAUUGGACUUUGGAAAAAAGCUAUCAAGACAUUUGGCAGCUUUACUAUGCCCUUUGUUCCAUGGAAAGGUCUAUGUGGCCCAGAACUGAGGUCUCUGGCCAACAGUCAUGUUGAAGCCAUGAAGUGAGAAUUGUAAUUCCACCGCACUCCCUGUUAUGAUGCCCUCAGAGAGGAAAGCUAAACGACCAUGAUCUGAAAACCCUGGAAACAAGUUUGGUGGUGCUUCUGUCAGUUAUUCCAUCACAGUGAUGAAAAACUGACUUAUCAAAAAGGCAACAUCCAUCACCCUCUGGCUCAUAAACUCAUGUGCUGCAUCUCAAAGACAACAGUUCUGAAAUUGUCACAAAAUUUUUGGAGAAUUUUUUUUUUUAAUUUUCAAACUUCAUUUUUUUUCAUAUAAAAUGUGUAUGUAAAAUAAAAAUGUAACAAUUUUCAAUAAAAUGUAAUU